AGGGCACCACCAGGAGUGGAGCCUGCGGCUUAAUUUGACUCAACACGGGAAAUCUCACCAGGCCCGGACACUGGAAGGAUUGACAGAUUGAGAGCUCUUUCUCGAUUCGGUGGGUGGUGGUGCAUGGCCGUUCUUAGUUGGUGGAGUGAUUUGUCUGGUUAAUUCCGAUAACGAACGAGACUCUGUCCUGCUAAAUAGUUCCCGCGUCCUUUGUUGCGCGGGAAAUUCUUCUUAGAGGGACUGGCGGCGUCUAGCCGCACGAGAUUGAGCAAUAACAGGUCUGUGAUGCCCCUAGAUGUUCUGGGCCGCACGCGCGCUACACUGAAGGGAUCAGCGUGUCUUCCCUUCCCGAGAGGGACGGGUAACCCGCUGAACCCCCUUCGUGGUAGGGAUCGGGGCUUGCAAUUAUUCCCCGUGAACCAGGAAUUCCCAGUAAGCGCAAGUCAUAAGCUUGCGUUGAUUACGUCCCUGCCCUUUGUACACACCGCCCGUCGCUACUACCGAUUGAACGUUUUAGUG
rnacentral:rRNA from 1 species